rnacentral:rRNA from 1 species
GAUGAACGCUGGCGGCGUGCCUAAUACAUGCAAGUCGAGCGAACAGACGAGGAGCUUGCUCCUCUGACGUUAGCGGCGGACGGGUGAGUAACACGUGGAUAACUUACCUAUAAGACUGGGAUAACUUCGGGAAACCGGAGCUAAUACCGGAUAAUAUAUUGAACCGCAUGGUUCAAUAGUGAAAGACGGUUUUGCUGUCACUUAUAGAUGGAUCCGCGCCGCAUUAGCUAGUUGGUAAGGUAACGGCUUACCAAGGCAACGAUGCGUAGCCGACCUGAGAGGGGGAUCGGCCACACUGGAACUGAGACACGGUCCAGACUCCUACGGGAGGCAGCAGUAGGGAAUCUUCCGCAAUGGGCGAAAGCCUGACGGAGCAACGCCGCGUGAGUGAUGAAGGUCUUCGGAUCGUAAAACUCUGUUAUUAGGGAAGAACAAAUGUGUAAGUAACUAUGCACGUCUUGACGGUACCUAAUCAGAAAGCCACGGCUAACUACGUG